rnacentral:snoRNA from 1 species
AUCCUAUGAUGUGGACAUCUUCGCAGUAGUUCUUUAAAACUUCUCUCAAGCUUCAUACAAGGACUCACCAUCAAAUUGUGUGAAUGAGGUGAUGUCAUUCCUUAACUU